GCUUCCAUGGUGGGAACGGUGAACACACUCAGCUGCUGACAGAAAGGCUGGAGGUUCACGUCCCCCUAGAGGCA
rnacentral:tRNA from 1 species